GACGAACGCUGGCGGCGUGCUUAACACAUGCAAGUCGAACGGAAAGGCCCUGCUGUUGUGGGGUACUCGAGUGGCGAACGGGUGAGUAACAGGUGAGUAACCUGCCCUUGACUUUGGGAUAACUGCAGGAAACUGGGGCUAAUACCGGAUAGGAGCUCCUGCUGCAUGGUGGGGGUUGGAAAGUUUCGGCGGUUGGGGAUGGACUCGCGGCUUAUCAGCUUGUUGGUGGGGUAGUGGCUUACCAAGGCUUUGACGGGUAGCCGGCCUGAGAGGGUGACCGGCCACAUUGGGCCUGAGAUACGGCCCAGACUCCUACGGGAGGCAGCAGUGGGGGAUAUUGCACGAUGGGCGGAAGCCUGAUGCAGCAACGCCGCGUGCGGGAUGACGGCCUUCGGGUUGUAAACCGCUUUCGCCUGUGACGAAGCGUGAGUGACGGUAAUGGGUAAAGAAGCACCGGCUAACUACGUG
rnacentral:rRNA from 1 species